rnacentral:rRNA from 1 species
UACGAAGGGGGCUAGCGUUGUUCGGAAUUACUGGGCGUAAAGCGCACGCAGGCGGAUUUAUAAGUCAGGGGUGAAAUCCCGGGGCUCAACCUCGGAAUUGCCUUUGAUACUGUCUAUCUUGAGUCCGGGAGAGGUGAGUGGAAUUCCUAGUGUAGAGGUGAAAUUCGUAGAUAUUAGGAAGAACACCAGUGGCGAAGGCGGCUCACUGGCCCGGUACUGACGACCAUGUGCGAAAGCGUGGGGAGCAAACAGG